AUCAGGUGCACCUGGCAUUGUCGAAAAAGAGCAGGCGCAAGACUCUGUUGCCCAUUUAAGAUGAUUAACACCCGGCAAACCUCACGCGAGACCUGAGUUCCUAGGUUGAAACCCCAAGCUCUUUCCCACUUGCUUGUGAGCAGACGAUCCAUCUCAGGAGUUACGGAUGAAGGAUGUGCAAGUAGCGCUUUUAUUCAUCUUUGCCUUGAAAGAAAGAAAUAAGCAGUUAUGUGUACAAGGAACUGUGAUGUCUCAGAUGAUUUGUAAGAACUGGGUGAAGAAGCUGGAGUCCAAGGCUGUGGACACAGGUAAGGUGGGGGAUGUCACCACCCCCAAUCUCUGCACAAGGCUGGUGUCUCUGGAAUAUCGGAAGCCCUGUUCCUGGCCUCAGGUCUUCAUUUACUC
rnacentral:lncRNA from 1 species